rnacentral:rRNA from 1 species
UGACUUACUUGGAUAACCGUGGUAAUUCUAGAGCUAAUACAUAGCUAAAAACCUCAACUUCGGAAGGGGUGUAUUUAUUAGAUAAAAAACCAAUGCCCUUCGGGGCUCCCUGGUGAUUCAUAAUAACUAAACGAAUCGCAUGGCCUUGCGCCGGCGAUGGUUCAUUCAAAUUUCUGCCCUAUCAACUUUCGAUGGUAGGAUAGUGGCCUACCAUGGUGGCAACGGGUAACGGGGAAUUAGGGUUCUAUUCCGGAGAGGGAGCCUGAGAAACGGCUACCACAUCCAAGGAAGGCAGCAGGCGCGCAAAUUACCCAAUCCCGACACGGGGAGGUAGUGACAAUAAAUACUGAUGUGGAGCUCUUUAGGGUUUCACAAUUGGAAUGAGAAAAAUCUAAACCACUUAAACGAGGAACAAUUGGAGGGCAAGUCUGGUGCCAGCAGCCGCGGUAAUUCCAGCUCCAAUAGCGUAUAUUAAAGUUGUUGCAGUUAAAAAGCUCGUAGUUGAACCUUGGGCCUGGCCGGCCGGUCCGCCUCACCGCGUGCACUGGUUCGGCCGGGCCUUUCCUCCUGGGGAACCGCAUGCCCUUUACUGGGUGUGCCGGGGAAUCAGGACUUUUACUUUGAAAAAAUUAGAGUGUUCAAAGCAGGCAUUUGCUCGAAUACAUUANCAUGGAAUAAUAGAAUAGGACGUUGUGGUUCUAUUUUGUUGGUUUCUAGGACCGCCGUAAUGAUUAAUAGGGACG